UACAGAGGGUGCAAGCGUUGUUCGGAAUUAUUGGGCGUAAAGGGCGCGUAGGCGGUGCUGUAAGUCUGUGGUGAAAUCUCUGGGCUCAACUCAGAGUCUGCCAUAGAAACUGCAGUGCUGGAGUGUGGGAGAGGUGAGUGGAAUUCCCGGUGUAGCAGUGAAAUGCGUAGAUAUCAGGAGGAACACCGAUGGCGAAGGCAGGUCUCUGGGCUGACACUGACGCUCAUGCACGAAAGCGUGGGGAGCAAACAGG
rnacentral:rRNA from 1 species